rnacentral:lncRNA from 1 species
GAUAUAUAGAUGGUUGAUGAAUGAAAAAUAAAGAGAAUAUUGUACAAAUAUUUAUAUACUUAUGAUUGACGAAUGAAAAAUAAAAUGAAUGUUAUAUAAAUAUUUAUAUAUGUAUAAUUAAUGAAUAAAUGAUUACUGAUCCAACCAAUGGUUCAACCACUGGUUGAAUUAGUGGUGUCAACAUGACAUUAUAAAUAUUUAAUAAUUUUUUUAAUUUUAUUAUAUAGAAAAUAUACAUAUAUUAUUAUUCUAGUACCAUACUUAAUUAUAUAAUAUCGGUUUUUAGACAAAAUUAAGUAGAUACAAGUUUUUAUGAAACGACCUAGCCCACUAGCAACAAUAACUCGUUGGGCCCAAACCAACAGCCCAAAAUGCUUAAGCCCAGUUAUUAUUACUAGUGUCUAAGUCUCUUAUAAACCCAAUGACAACCCCAUUUCCAUCCGAUGUGGGAUUAUUGGGGUGUCACAUUUUAAGUUUUAGUUUUCAUAAUAAAAAAUAAAAUUAGUAAAAAUCAAUCAUAAAUAAAAGGAAAAACUUCAAAUACCACCAAUGUGGUUUCACACUUUCUUACUUUAGUACCCAGUGGUUUAAAGUGUUUUAAUUUAGUAUCUGGUGGUUUUAUUUUUAUCUUUUUAUUAUUGAUUACACUAAUUUUUUUCGUGAAAUCAGUGACAAAGUUAAAACUAAAGGAUACUAAAGUAAAUAUUUGAUAAACCAACGAGGGGUAUCUGAAGUUUUUUGUAUAUAAUUUAACGAAAUAUUUAACGGAAAAACUGACGAAAAGAUAAAAAUAAAACCAUAGGAUGCUAACUUAAUACACUUUAAACUAAGGGUGUAAACGAGCCCGAACACGAGCGAGCUAGGGCCGGCUUGUGUUCGCGCGUUUAAUAAACGAAGCCAACACAAGCUGGCUCGUUAAAAAAUUGAGCCGAAAAAUUCAGUUCGUGUUCGGCUCGUUAAUAAACGAGAUGAACAGGAGCUGGCUCACGAGCUGGCCAACGAACAAUAAG